rnacentral:lncRNA from 1 species
AUAUGCUAGGUGCUUGUUCUAAUGAAGCAGGUUUCACAGAGGCUUGGGGAAGGCCAGAUAGCUAGCCCAAGGUCACAAAGGUAGGAUAGGAUGGAACUCAAGUUUUCUGAUGCCAAGUUUUUGGGCUUGUGUAUUUGUGCUACCAAAGUGGGAAACAUUUAGAUUUAGCAGAAGUCUAGGACUUUCACACAAAGCAAAAGGACUUCUUUGUAGAUUUGGUCUUUAUUCAUUCAUUUAUUUCUGAACUUCUGCUAUAUACUGUGUACUCAGGGUGAAGAGGCAGAGGCCCCACCUAGUUCUUGCUUUUAGGGAGUUCAGACUCUAGAGGGGGAGGUGAUAGCACACACAAAGGCCCUUAAAAUACUGUGGAAGGACCAUGAUAAGAGUAAACUCAGAGGAAGGGCUGGGAGGUCAAGGAGAGCCCUCAAGGGAGACAGCCUCUAAGCUAGUCCUUAAGGACUUGGUCAGGCAAGUGGUGGGGGGGACGUCACCCAGCCUGAGGGAGCAGUGUAUACAAAGACCUCAGGUAUGAGAAGACUUGACGUAUUAGGGAGAACUGGCAAGGUACAGAGUGGGGAAAUGAAGUCCCGUAAACAAGGCACCUUGAACGUUAUGCCAACAGCUUGAAGGUUUCUUAAUAGGAAGGCAACACAGACACAUUUUCACUUCAAGAAGAUUCUUCUAGUUUCUGGUGGGGAGAAGUGGUAGGAGGCUGAAGGCAGGGAGGCCAGGCUGGUGGGGGCUGUCAGUUGUCCAGCAAGAGAGGACAGUGAUGGAGGUGGAGGGUGGUGGGCUGGUUGGGACUCCGUAGAGAAGGUAGGGCUGACAGGAGUGGGAAUGGAUUGCUGGUGAGAGUGGGGCAAGGGGAGGAGCCUCUGGGAUGACCUCAAGACCCUGGCUCCUGCAGCCAGAUGGAUGGAACAAUCUGUUAAGUGUGAGUGAUCUUCAUCAUUCAAAAGCACUUCUACAGCCAUUAUUUCAAGAAGACAGUGUUCCACAUUUCAGACGCACAUCUGUGUUCUCAGAGUUUGGGGUCUCCCAGGACUUUGUAGCCCUGCACCCUAAGAUGUGAAUGUUAUGCCUCCAGAGAACCCUCUGCUUGCCCUGUGCUCUCUUUUCUCUUAGAGCAGACACUCAGGAUGGUGCCUUCCUUGCACAGGGUGCCUGCAGUGGACACCCCAGGUGCCUCCUUUACACCCUUUCUCCUUUUUUUGGUGACUAGACCUUACCCAUAAAGCCUGUGGGCUUUGGGAAAAGCUCAUCCCAUCCCCCGAUAUAAGAGCCGGGCAUAGUUUCAGGCCUAACAUAGUGCUUAUAAUUGCAUUCUUUGGCCAUUAUAUCUGUUUCCUAGGCUUGCCAAAGCAAAUUACCAAAAAGUUAGUGGCUUAAGACUGCAGAAAUAUGUUCAUCGUCAGUGCUGGAGGCGGGGGC